UCUUGGUCCAAUUAGAGGAAGUAAAAGUCGUAACAAGGUCUCCGUAGGUGAACCUGCGGAGGGAUCAUUACACAAAUAUGAAGGCGGGCUGGAACCUCUCGGGGUUACAGCCUUGCUGAAUUAUUCACCCUUGUCUUUUGCGUACUUCUUGUUUCCUUGGUGGGUUCGCCCACCACUAGGACAAACAUAAACCUUUUGUAAUUGCAAUCAGCGUCAGUAACAAAUUAAUAAUUACAACUUUCAACAACGGAUCUCUUGGUUCUGGCAUCGAUGAAGAACGCAGCGAAAUGCGAUAAGUAGUGUGAAUUGCAGAAUUCAGUGAAUCAUCGAAUCUUUGAACGCACAUUGCGCCCUUUGGUAUUCCAAAGGGCAUGCCUGUUCGAGCGUCAUUUGUACCCUCAAGCUUUGCUUGGUGUUGGGCGUCUUGUCUCUAGCUUUGCUGGAGACUCGCCUUAAAGUAAUUGGCAGCCGGCCUACUGGUUUCGGAGCGCAGCACAAGUCGCACUCUCUAUCAGCAAAGGUCUAGCAUCCAUUAAGCCUUUUUUUCAACUUUGACCUCGAUCA
rnacentral:rRNA from 1 species